UACGGGGGGGCAAGCGUUGUUCGGAAUCACUGGGCGUAAAGGGUGCGUAGGCGGGUUUUUAAGUCAGAGGUGAAAUCCUGGAGCUCAACUCCAGAACUGCCUUUGAUACUGAAAGUCUUGAGUAUGGGAGAGGUGAGUGGAACUGCGAGUGUAGAGGUGAAAUUCGUAGAUAUUCGCAAGAACACCAGUGGCGAAGGCGGCUCACUGGCCCGGUACUGACGCUGAGGUGCGAAAGCGUGGGGAGCAAACAGG
rnacentral:rRNA from 1 species